CACUUGGGCAGGAAUUGAUCCCGCAACGUCCAGCUCACUAAAACAACACUCUAACCACCACGUCAAAUAUUAAGUUGUGAUACGAAGAGGUCACUCAAUAAUUAUAUCAUAUUUCUUUCUGAGUUAUUACCUUAGCGCAAUUGUCCCACAUCGAACCCACAGAACAAAUUUGGUAAGGAUAAAUAGUUUUCUGCUACCAAAGCUAGUCGCGCGCGAAACACAUGUAGCAGUGUGGGUUUGUGAUGGAGCACGUGUUUUUGACAAUAGGUGCCUAUUGUAACUCGAAAAUUUAUAAAAAUACCCCUUGUGACUCAUGACAUCAUGCGCGUGCACAGAACCGGGCGAGUCAUGGCGUCAACCGGGCGAGUCAUGAUGUCAUCCAGUGAUUUACUGUACAGAAUCGCCGGUUCUUCUCUAGAAUCAGGCGAUUUUCGGGUUUACAAAAGAAUCGACACUGGAUGACCGAUUCCCUGUUCGAAUCGACCGAUUCCAUGCCGGCUCGACGAUUUUUAAACCACUGGUUUCACCAAUCUACUUAAGUCUAUUUAUCCUCAUCUAUCGCCGAUUGGAGCCACCUGUAAGUUCCCUGAAAUAUUCCAAAUUCUACUUAUCUUACCACUCAUCCAUCUCAACAUCCUCAUUUCAGCUACACUCAUUUUAUGGAUAUGUGUUUCUUGACCACCUAACAUUCAGUUCCAUAAAGCAUGAUCGGGCUUACAAUCAUGCUAUAGAAUUUUUCAUUCAGUUUCAUUGGUAUGUGAUGGAUUCCGGAAGCACAUCUCCAUUUUGUCCACCCAACUCUAAUUCUAUGCUUGACAUUUUCCUCAAUCUCUCCAUUCUCAUGGAUCAUUGACUCAAGAUGUUAAAAAUAAUAUCUUUUAGGUAGUUCUUAGCCAACAAUCUCAAUUAAUUGCUUGUGUCUACUCUUAUUCUUACUAAACUUGCAUUCUAUAUAUUCUUAGUCUGACUAAUUUUGAAACCUUUAGAUUUUAGAGCAUCCCUCCAAAGUUUUUAUUGCGUUAACCAUAAGUAAAAUUGCAUUGCUUAAAUCAAAUAGAAAACUAAAUAUACGAAUUAAUUGCUCAUGCAUCGGACUCUCCUGGAUGGAGAGAAUUCCUUGUACAAUAAGCCAAACCCGCUAUGUUGUAAAUAGUUCCCCAUAUAGUAAAUCAAAAUUAUUUUCUUUAAUUACCCCCAAAUAAUAUAUGAUACCCAUCUUAAUCCCUCUUAAAUUAUUUUCCCCAAUUAACCCAUAACUAUAAAUAAAAUUCAUUCCUUAAAUUAAAAAUACAAAUUAGUUGCUCCUACAUCUGGUUGGAGAAAAUUUGUCCUUGCGUUUAAAGUGAGAUAAGAUGAUUGUGCGUUAAUCCCACUGUCUUCUUCAACCACGUAGUAUUUUUAAAUAUGGGGCUUUGCUAUCAGCUGAUGAGCACAAACUCAUUUAAGAACACCUUGAGGAAAUGGUCACUAUAUGUUGAUGAAGUUAUUGUGAUAUGCUGGCUUUUGAUGAAGUCAUUGUGAUAUGUUGGCUUAGUUCUGUCAAAUAAACUUACUGGAUUUUUCUUAGUUGAGAUACAUAGCCUUGUUGUUUCUGCCCUAUGUAAACACCCUACUUUGGCUAAGGGAAUACCUAGGUGCUCGAACCCUUAUAUCUUAGGAUCCAAACCUAAUUGCCUCCUUAAACUAACCCUAGAACCUAAACCUACCUUUCGCCCACCAAAAUACCCUAAUCCCUUUAGGGACCAUACCAGGGUAGAUAAUCCAUUUCGCCCACCAAAAUGCCCUAACCCCUUUAGAGACCAUACUAGGGUAGAUAAUCCAUAGUCGAGGUAAUCCCAUCCUCCAUACACCAUAACCACAAACAUAAAAUACCAUGCUAGACCUUGCUAUAAAAACCCUAUUUAAUUAACCUUAAAUUCACUGAGUUAGCCUAAGUCUUCCUAAUUUUCCUUAACCCUUAAGAAAGCCUUCCAAAUCAGGAUACACCAUCCUUAGAACCUGCUAAUUAGGCUAAAUCACUUAGGAAACCUUCUUGGAUUGCCUAAAUUCGAACAACACCAUUAAACCCCUAAUCAUCUCUCAAUCACCUGUACAAAAUCCUAAAUUUGCCUUUAGAAUAAUUAAAAACAUUGAAAGUUUAGUUAAAAAUCAUUGAAAAUGGGAACUAAAUGCCAAAAACUCCCAAACGGACCAAAAUUGGCCUCUAACGGCCAUGUGGGUAAGCAGCAAGACAUCAUCCCCAUUUGGGUCCAAUGGGAGCCUGUUUCACAAAUCGCAUUGCGCAUUUGAUGGAUUGCUUCUCGUACAAUGCAAAUCCCAUCACAGUAUGCUGCAUGACCUCGAUUGGGUCGCCACUUGAUGUGUGGUAGUUACCUAUACAUACCACUAGAUAUUGUUAGAUUUGCAUUGGUGAAACAGGGCAGGAAGAUUGUAGUUUGACAAACACUAUAGAAAAUUUUAAAGAACUUGACAUCUUUUUAUUUCUAGACAUGAGUUAGUGUUUUUUCCAGACAAUAUUUAUUUUUUACUGAUGAAAAUUUGUGUACGUCUAAGUUCUCUAAACAAAUUUGUCCUUGAAAUACAUAGAAACAAAAGAUCGAACACUAAUCUCACUUGUACAAAUGCGUAAAUACAUCAAGAUCUAAAGCACCAUAGUAGCUUCAAAAAAGAGAUUUUGCUAGCUAGAAAGCUUGUGCCAACAAUUGUGAUGGUAACAUGUCACCAUGACGUUGGUUAUUCUAAUUGAACAUUGACGUGUUGUGGCUUUUCGUUCCUCGACUUACACGCCAUAUAACUACUUGUCAGUUACACCUUUUCAUGUAAUUGGAUAUCACUCGGUCACAAUUGGUCCACACCAAAAGGAUUACGUUUCAUGCGCUGUUGCCGAAGAAACAUGCGUCUCGUAAAGUUGACUUUGACUUGCAAGCGAAAAGUUGACUUUGACUUGCAAGCAUGCUAUAAGCGAUUCAAACUUGCAACAUCGCUAUGAACAACUCCGACUGGUGACAUAGAAAUGCUUCAGUGUAAAAUGCACCCCAAGCGCUGGCACAUACACGAGCACAUUGCAUGCUUAACAUACUCUGAAUGAGACAUAUCUCCCCGAGGUUCUUAGAACACAAUGGCAGAGGGUAUUUCCAUAUUUAAACAUGGCGUACACUCUUCCAUGCUUCAAUGUGGGACUAAAAUCCAUUAUUUCGCUCUCUACAGUAAUACAUAGUUUCGCUUUCCAAGGAUAAUUAUUUUGAAGGAUAUUGUUUUGAACAACUCCUAGUAUUUUCCUAAUGCAACAAUACAACAUAUUUAUUCAACCCAAACGUAUUUUUAUAGCCUGGACCUUGCCUGUUUGAACCCUAGAGAUCUCUUUGGCCAUUUUACCUUUUAUCCUUGGAACCUUGGAAAUCCUAGGAAUUCAAAUCUUAACCUUAGGCUCGAGGACCGCGAAACAUUCGCAAAGAUCUAGCAUGACUGGCCCAAACUCUUCAAAACUUCAAACACCCUAAUACUAGCGAACAUCUUAGACAACCCUAGGUAGCCUCAUACUUUGGUGUUCUCUCCUCUUCAAUCCCAAAUCAAUUAAAAUGCAAACGUUCUACAAGCAAUUCUAUUUAAGCAUCUUCAAGGACAAUGGAGAAGGUCAUUCGGCACCGCCUUUCUCUGAUACAGGCCCCCAACUCUGAUUGCUGGCCUUUGGUUCUGGCUCAAGCAAUGGAUUGGAAUGGGGACUGCUGAGCUUGUUGAGUAUUUCAAAUCAUACAAGCCCUCAAAGGCUAAGCAUACAUAUGGUCCUCAAGGCCAAUGUGCAUUAAGUGUUCUUGUACUUGAAGGUUCAGCCAUUGGUUAUUUGGAUGCCCAGCUUAGGCACAAGAUACGGAUGGAUGGGACGGACGCCGCUUUUUCUUUCAUCCUGGUGGAAAGUGUUCGUUGUAUGUUUAUUUGGCCACAAGAGAAGAUGUGGAUAUCUUUAACUGCCAGUCCCGUGUCCUCGAAUAUAUAUGAAGGCUACAGCUACACAUAUUCACAUGAAUGUGCAAUCCAAUAAACUUCACUCCAAAAGGCUACAGCAUAUUUUCUUCUAAAAUGAAGAAAGGGGAAGUAGAAACCAAGACUCGGAAGUGUAUAGUUGGGUGACAUUUGUUCCUGAUUUGGUUUAUGACGAACGCACACACACACACAUGGAGAGGGGUAGGUGUCCUAAGGCCUUCCUUGGAUUUAUGAAGGUUUAUAGAGAAGAGAGAGAGAUUGAGAAGCGUCCUGAAGUCUUGGAGUAAUGGAGGUUUGGAGAGAAGCUAUUAAUGGAAGUUCAGAGAGAAGCUCACAUACAACACAUGAAUAGAGUAGAGAUGGAGAAUUUAUGAGCCUCGGCAAAAUAGAUAUUCUUCCAGAGGCUUAAUGAGUUUUAUGAAGAGAAGCAAAGAGAGGUAACAUGUGCCACACCAUAUGAAAUCUGUGUGUGUGUUUAAAUUUGAAAAUUGAUAAAUGAGUCUCAUUUGUUUCUUGUGUA